CCUACGGGUGGCAGCAGUGGGGAAUAUUGCACAAUGGGGGAAACCCUGAUGCAGCGACGCCGCGUGAGCGAAGCAGUAUUUCGGUAUGUAAAGCUCUAUCAGCAGGGAAGAAAAUGACGGUACCUGAGUAAGAAGCUCCGGCUAAAUACGUGCCAGCAGCCGCGGUAAUACGUAUGGAGCAAGCGUUAUCCGGAUUUACUGGGUGUAAAGGGAGCGCAGGCGGCCUUGCAAGUCUGAUGUGAAAUACCGGGGCUCAACCCCGGAGCUGCAUUGGAAACUGUGAGGCUGGAGUGUCGGAGAGGCAGGCGGAAUUCCUAGUGUAGCGGUGAAAUCCGUAGAUAUCUGGAGGAACAUCAGGGGCGAAGGCGACUAUCUGGCACAUAACUGACGCUGAGGAGCGAAAGCGUGGGUAGCAAACAGGAUUAGAUACCCGAGUAGUC
rnacentral:rRNA from 1 species